rnacentral:tRNA from 1 species
UCCCCAGUGACUCAGUGGUAAAGAAUCUGCCUGCCAAGCAGGAGAUGCAGGUUCAAUGCCUGGGUCGGGAA